rnacentral:lncRNA from 1 species
GGAUGGCUAGGAUGGAGUUUUCUUGUUUGCAAUCUGAGUGAAUUGAUCUGAUUGGAGUAGAGAAUGCUGGCUGGUGAUUGGUUGAUUCAAACUGGUCAAGGCAAGGGCUGGCUCCUGAUUGGUUCCCUUAAGGCUCCCAUGAACCUUUUUCAUAAAGAUGGCUAGAUACAUGGUCAAGGCUGCUUUUCCUUUACAGCUCAAAGACAGCCUGUCAUUGACCACACCCUAGCUCUCCCUUAUCCACAAACAGUCACAAGAUAACUCAGGUUGUCUUCUCUUGCGCCCUAAGUUUGCACAGCUUCAUUUCAGGUUGAUCCGGAACAAGUACGGUCGAUGGUACGGACCGCCCGUCCGUACCUCGCCCUAUUUUUGUACCAACUCCCAAUCUUCUCAAAUGGUUAAGUCUGAACAUGAUCUUGGUCGCCCUAAGUUUGUACGGUCUGUACGGUCCGUACCGAUGCUCGACCCUAUUUCUCCACCAUCACCCAACUGACUCCAAAUGGUGUCUAAGUCCCUCCUGAACUUGACCCUAACCUUGCACACCUCAUUUUGGAUACUUCUGGACACUCUUGAACACUCCUAAAGCCUUGAUAGACAAUCUCCGGAGGUCUUGCCCUAUUCUUGCUCAAGACCCAAACUCAACUCAACUCCUCUUUUGGCUCCAUUUCUUUCUUCAAGUCAACACUCCCCCUCAAGCUUGACUCUAGGUGAUCCUAAGUCAAGCUUGGAACCUUGAAGAACUCCCUCAUUAAAAACCUCACCAAGGAAAACCCUUUGGGACAAAACCUUGAUGAGGGAAAAAGAGUAGAGCCUCCAAGGCCUAGGGAUUGGCCAGUGAGCCUAUGUGCCUUAGUAUAACUGAGGUUUAGGCACAUAGGCUCUGGAUCACGGCCUCUUCACUUCACCACUCUUCUUGGACUUCUUCUUGAACUCGGUUUGUGUCUUCCCUUCUCUCAUGGCUUCUCGCCAUCUCCAUCAGGUAAGAUCACGCCCUCUUCAUUGAGAAUCCAAGUAAGGUACCUGAUACAUCAUUCCACAAGUGUAUCAGUUCUCAAGAGAUAAACCUAUCAUGAAUGUAUAUUAAGAGAUAAAGAUCAGGUUUACUCCCUUGUAUAAAUAGUGAGGAGUGGCCGCUCUUCACAUGCCACUUGAAUCCCUCACUUGCUGAGCUUAACAGCUCCUUUUCUUAUCAUGCAAGCUCAUCCAUACUCCCCCUCAAGCUUGAGACCGAGUAUAAGGAAGUUCCAAGCUUGAUGGUGAGCGCAUGAUAGCUCCAUGAUAAGCCCUGUGGAAAGCACCUCCAUCUCCUUUGGACUUGAUGCUUGAACCUCCACUACAUCAUCAUUGCACUGAGGAGACACCUCAGCCCACUCUCCAAGCACCUCACACGCCUUGUUGAGUGACCUUCUUCAUCCCUCUACUUCGGCUGAAUCACUCAAUGAUCAGCUUGCAAUGACCUUGAAUAACACAGGUCAUUGAAAAACAGGGUCAUCAGGUGGCUCACUUUGCUCCCCUCCUCAAGCUUGGAUUGAGUAUGGGUCCAAGCUUGAAGUGAGCCUCAAUGAGCCUUAAGAUCAGGAGCGCAACAUCUCAUAGAGUGCGCUUCAACCACUGAUCAACCCUUCCCUUUAUCUCCUAUGCCUUCUGGUCACCGGUCUCCUCCAGACUUAGGUGAUGACCACUCGCCUUGUGUAUCCACACAUACACCACAGUGACCAUUCCCAAUGGGUAAAGUCUUCCUCUUCUGCUCGGAUUGGUGAUGGACAGAGAGCACAUCUUGUGAACCUGAAACAUCACUCAAACUCCAGCAAAGAUAAGACACAAGCAUUGGGAUCAAUCCUUGACUAAUCAUCAAGUUUGAUCUCCAAUGUCACAAGCUAUGCAACAGAUUGAAACAAGCAUUAUCAAGUUCACAUCUUUGCAAGCAAUCUCUCUAAGUACAAGCAAGAUCAAAUCAGAUUCAAGACAAGCUACUUAGGCAAUCAACCCUGCCUUAAUCCGCAAUCAUAGACAUCCAUCUAUGUGCUCAAUGUUAAGGCAACAACAAGAUGACAAUAUGCUGUGACCUUAAUCAGUUUCUAGCUCAUGUAUGCAACAAGAUCAGCCAAUGCUUUCUAUUAUCCUAACACACAUCACUUAUAACUGAGGCAAAGCAAUAUUAAUCAUCAAUCAACAUCAGACAAUGCAAAACCUUAAGUGAUUUCAGUUUAAUGAAAGCUAAUAGGAUUUAGACAGUUUCUAACAUCCUAGCACAAUCAUAACCAAACCGGGUAAGCAUUUUAUUUCUCAACAUCAAACAAGACUCUUAAAGCAUCCUGGGACUGAACUAGACAAUACAAUAUAGCAUUUCAUAUCAAGAACCCACGGAUUGCAACACUACGCAACACUACACACAACCAGUUUCAAUCACAUGCUCAUAUCAAGAAGGUUUAGGAUUAGCUUACAACCAAGGAACCUGAGCUGGUUCCUUGAGCCUCCUUGGUAAUAGGUCACGAAUCUGAUGGGUAAGAGAGCUGGAUCGUCACCCAACACCCUCUCCUUGUGUUCAUAACCUUCUCCUUGAAACCACAACUCAAAAGGCUCCACCUUUCUUCACAGCUCCAAGUCACCAACUUCAGGAACAAGGGGAAAGCUUUCUUCUUGAAUGGUUUCAGCUUGGACCAGAGUUGAGACACACCUUUAAUGGACUGGAGAGAGGAGGCACGACCAUGAUAAACCUCCUUGGCUUCAUACACCUUCUUCUUGAAGAGAGAGAACCAAAAGGACAGAUCUUCAAUGGCUUGGAUUUGAGAUGAGACUAGGCUUGUGAUGUAUAUGCGGAAGCUGGAACCAAGUUCUGAUGAACCUGGCUCUGAUACCAUGUUAGGUUUUCAGAGCUCAGGCUGUGUGUGUGAGAAGAAGCCACUAAGGGCGAAAUGAGAGCUUGAACUGAAGAGAGAAAGGUCUGAUGAAAAGAGUAUGAACUUGGACAGAAACAAGAGAUUUAGAGAGAUUAAGAGAUUUAAGUAUAAGAAAGGGAGAGAUUAAGGGAUUCUUAUCCAAGAACACACUUUGUAUUAUGGAGGAGGGGAAAUCCCCCUCUCUCUCUUAAGAGAGUUACAAAACGUCCAUGAUAGCCUUUAUAUAGGCUUUACACUUUGUAAAAUCAUAAACCCUUAAUCUAAUGGAUAGAAAUGACUUGAGAUGAAUGGAUGGCUAGGAUGGAGCUUUCUUGUUUGCAAUCUGAGUGAAUUGAUCUGAUUGGAGUACAGAAUGCUGGCUGGUGAUUGUUUGAUUCAAACUGGUCAAGGCAAGGGCUGGCCCCUGAUUGGUUCCCUUAAGGCUCCCAUGAACCUUUUUCAUAAAGAUGGCUAGAUACAUGGUCAAGGCUGCUUUUCCUUUACAGCUCAAAGACAACCUGUCAUUGACCACGCCCUAGCUCUCCCUUAUCCACAAACAGUCACAAGAUAACUCAGGUUUGUCUUCUCUUGCGCCCUAAGUUUGCACAGCUUCAUUUCAGGUUGAUCCGGAACAAGUACGGUCGAUGGUACGGACCGCCCGUCCGUACCUCGCCCUAUUUUUGUACCAACUCCCAAUCUUCUCAAAUGGUUAAGUCUGAACAUGAUCUUGGUCGCCCUAAGUUUGUACGGUCUGUACGGUCCGUACCGAUGCUCGACCCUAUUUCUGCACCAUCACCCAACUAACUCCAAAUGGUGUCUAAGUCCCUCCUGAACUUGACUCUAAC